rnacentral:lncRNA from 1 species
UGAAAUGGUCUGUUAGACUACUCAUAAACAUAAAGGAGGAAUCCCAAAUGGUGACCCUAGCCGCCUGGCUGUUGGGACUAAUAACUAGUAAACUACUAGGGAACACAAAAAAACAAUGCAUUAAUAUCCAUUAUUAAAAAAACAAAAGAAGACUAAACAUGUUAAGUUUUUUUUUAAUGGCUUUAAUGUUUGUGUUGUUUAAAAAAUAAAAGAAAUAAACGAAAAAAGAAAAUGGUGAGAUUCAUCGUCCUCCCUCCCUCUCAACCUUACUCACAGAAUCGCUCUCUCAACCUCACUCUCAGCAAAUCUCUCUCUCGCUCUCAACUUCUUGUUUCUCUCAAUCAACAUCGCUCAUCCCCAACCUUCACUCUCAACAAAUCUCUCUCUCGCCCAAACAGCGUGAAAGUUUGAAAGAAAGCUCACCUUUGCGGUGAAUCGGUAGCUCAGGUAACGACCGAACCCUCUCCCUUCGCCUCUUCCACACUGAUUUCCUUUUGAUUUUAGGAUAGGGUUUUCUUGUUUUGAAUUUUUUCACUUCCGCCUCUCUAAUUUUUCGUCUCUACAAUUCUUAGGUUUUUUGCCUUAUUUGAAGUUUUCGCCGUUAAUUAUUCAUUUUAUCUCUCACUUGAUUUCCUCUCUUCUCCUUUUAUAUUUUGCCAGAUUGGGUUUCAGUUUUGGUAUGGUGCGAAUUCAAGAAUAUCUCUGCAACCACUUUUUUGAUGUGCUCAGAAUCGGAUUGGUCUCUUUGAUGUUUGGAUUUCGGAACGGUAACCUGAACUCAAGCUUUCUCCCUCUGUUUUGUCUUAAUGCCAAUUUGGGAAUUUUCUUGAAAUUUAACUGCCUUGCUGUUUUACUUUUACUGCAGUGAAUUCGGAGUGGGUAUACACUGAUGUAAUGCAAGUAAUAGUUGAUUCCUUAAGCUUGGUGUUCUUGUCAUGAAUCAAAGGGAUUAACUUAGCAAGCCACAAUUUAGUAUGCCAAUAUCAGCAGCAACAACAUAAUGAUAAUCAGUAUCACUUUGCUGAUUGACUCUUUGUUCAUUAGAAUUUGGACUCUCUGAUUCAUUUGAAGCUAGGAGAAAGAAUCUUCAGUCGUUGCGAGCCCCCACUUCUUUCAAGCUCCUUAUACUCCUCAAUCAUAUGAUGAAGAUCCUCAUCAGAACAAACAGAAAUAAGAGCAUCGAGAUCCUCUCCAGGAAGCUGGUAUUUGAUAGUGUGAGUUUGAUUGCAAAUAUUAGAUGUCUCCCUUGUAAGUUCCUCAUGUGUGAUGUUUUUCCUGAUCGAUAUAAUCCGCGUCUCUCCCCCCACAUAUCUGAGUUAUUUUUGUGCGUAUUAUGCAGGUUUAUUUUGGAAAUGAAGAAUGGUUUCCUCUUGGCAAGCCUGGCUGCUUCAAAGACAGUGGGGGAGAUAGCCAACUGAUGGUUCAGAUGGUUAUCCGGCAAUGUACCAUACUCUUGCAGGUGGUUACAGGAUGCUUGUUUGACAUCUGUGUCGUGACUGUCCGCCACUAGUUCAAAGCUAUGCGGCGAUUCAGUAUUAGGCAAUGAUUCAGGUUGAGGCAUUUCAAGGUGAGUAUUGUCUGCAUCACCAUCUGAUUUAAUGCGUGUAAUUAAUGAAUUGGGCAUAACUGUUGUACGGUUUGGUUUGUUAUUCAUAGGUUUUGGUUGCGUUUGUUAUGUUUUGUAGGGGCCUUGGCUUUGAUAUGAAAGCUUUCAUGAAGCAGGUAACAGAAAAUAAUUACCUAUCAUUUUGUAAUAAUGGACACUGUAUUGUGCAUCCGUUCAAAGAAACUGGUGCAGAAUUGCAGGAUAUUGAUGUAACCCUUAGAGUUGUUGGAGCUGCAGCGGUUAAAUCACUAGACGGCAUCGCAUUUGACAGGAAAAUUAACAAUGGCAGCAAUGUAUUCUUUCUCAAUCCUCAAUGCUUCAACGGUUGUCCACAAGAGAUCGCCGGCAGUGCAAGCUUCAAAGACUUUCUACUGUGAGAGCUAAAUGUUCUUCAAGGCUAAAUUCAAACGACCCAUCACUUAAAACAAAAGGUAAUCCUUCUCUUCAACCACUGUUUGUCUUUCACAAUAGUUUCCCGACCCAAAAGUGACUUUAAACCGUUCAUGAAGUUCUUUGAUCGACAACUUGUCUAAACAUAUUUCUCCGUCUGUCAUGGAAAAAUCAGGCUUUAAAGGGGAAUAGACGGCAGAAGCAGAUGAUCCACUUCUAUUACUCCUUCUGAAGGUCUGGAACACUGAUCAAUACUCCCAGAUUGGUUACUAUGACAAUAAUUUAAACUCGAUGCUAUAGAAGGUGCUUCUUGGUCUUUCUCAAUUAUGACAGGAAAUUUAUCAGCAGAACACUGGCUAUCUAUUUGUACAUGAGAACGAAUGGGUGAUCGAGACGACAAGCGAAGUUUCUCUUCCUGUUUAACCUUCUGCAGCAUCUGAAACUUUGCAUUUAGCUUCCCCAAAUCUGCCUCUGCAGUGCCUAAUUGUGAAACGCCUUCCGAGCACUCCAACCGAAGCUUCCCAGAAGAUGAUCUUUCGAUUGAUAUGCAUUCCAAACUCUGUCCAGUGUCUGCAGCAACACGCAUUUCACUGUUUUCAUAUUCAAGAAAAAUCCUCCACCUCCAUUACUUCAUCAUCCCUGUUGUAACAAAAACACCAUUUUCUUUAUUUCAGGUACAUGCUGAGCUGCCUCUUCUGCCACCGCAAGAGCCCUUUCUAUAGCACAUUUUGAGUUCUCUAUGAUGGAUGAUAUUGUACUCUCAGUUGCAUCCUUAAUUUGCUUUUUAAUCAGAUGAGCUGCUUCAGCAGUAGUGGUUUCAACAGGUGAAAUUCUGAGUUAAGCAUCUUCUAGUAUGUGAGAAGUUGCCUGCUGGAAAGCAAACUCCGCUAACUUUUCAACCUGCACUGCAAUAUCAACAGCAUCUUGUUUGGCAAGGACCAACUUAAAUUACAGAGAGAACUUCUCUUCAACAGAUUCCUCCAGAUUUUCUCGAAAAAGAUUUGGCAGACUCGUGCUCAGGUAUAGCUACUUCUUUGUUAUGUACCAAGGCAACAAUGUAUUCCUGGUUUUUGUGCUACAGUGAUCCUCCUUUUCUGAAUAUCAUCAGUUGGCUAAUGAUGAUCCCGAUGCAAUAACACAUCACUGAUCUCGCAUGUUUUCUUUGUAGUGCAGUCAUUGUCCUGAUGCAUUUCCUCCACAAUUUUGUGGAAUAGAUUCAAAAAGCAAUGGCAGCAUCUGUGAGUUCAUUGAUGAUUCUAGCAACAUUGAAAUCGGCAAUGACAUCGGCGUCCGUGGUGGCCUGUCUCUGAGGCUUCCUAAUCAAAGAUGUGGAGGUGUCUUAAAGUGAUCAAUUUUGAUACAACCUUUGUAGAAAGCUCCAUUUUUUCAUUAGGUCUCAAUGUUAGUGUUUGUAACAAAACUGCUUAAGGAUUUGUAAAGACUUCCCGGUCCUUUACAGUUUGACAAGUUAAAAUAUCUUAAAUGUUUCAAUUUUCUAAUUGAUCUAGAAAACUUGCUUAAAGAACAAUCCGUCAGCUUCAAGACACGCAGGUGUUUGAAUUUUGAAAUGAUUGACAAUUUAUCCUCAUUGAAUUUUUCCUCAUUGGAAGACAGUAAAAUCAAAGUUCGCAGCCUACUUCCAUUUAAUGAGUCCAACAAAUGAAUUGCCUUGGAUUCCAAUGAUACAUGCAUGAGUUUUGUACACGGCUUUUUGUCUCACUGUCUAAGUAACAACAACAUUGCCAGCUACUUGCAUUUCAAGAUCAUGCAUUAAAUCAUGCAUUUCGAAACUAACUAUAUCACCAUCUUCACCCACUUUUGCAUCUUGGCAAAUGACCUCAUCAAGAAAAACUUUACAAAUUCUUCACCUGUGUCUUCCACGAGUUGCUUUUCAUCCGAGCAUCUUCCAAUGAAAAUAUUGCAUACUGCAACAUUCAUUACUAACCAGUGACUUGCUGAAUCUUGCAUGCUAAUAUUUGUAGGAGGCACCAUAUUUUUAACAAUGAGGGGAGAUUGGUUAUUAGACCUUUCAAAGACAGACAAAUUGGAUUCCUGUACCGAGUGAGAUGUACUAUUUUGAUUUUGAAAUGAGCUAUGGAUGGAAAAUGGAUCAUGUUUGGUUAUGAAAUGGAUAUGGAUUUUAGAAAUAAUCCAAGACUAAUCAAAAUGUCAAUUAAAAAAUCAAAAAAGCCAAAUUAAAACCAAUUAAAAUCAAAUUAAUCUAUAAUUUGUUAAAAUUACUUUGAUGUCAAAUUCUAACAUUUAUUUGGAAAUUAAAAAUCAAUUAGAAUUUGAAUCAUUAGUAAAACACAAUUAAGAUUAAAUUGAAAUUUGGAAUUAGACUUAAUUUGAAAUUAAAAUUGAAAAAAAAUAAAAAAGUCAAAUAUUUAGAAUCCAUUUCAUAAUCAAAACACCAUGAUAAAGAAAAACUAAAUAAUGCCCAAUGUUUAUAAAACAAAUAUGGAUUUGGGAAUGGAUGAUUGCCUUUGGUCAUGAAUGUAUGCAAAUGAACUUUAGGCCAUGUGCCAAAAUAAUAAAAAAAUGAAAAAAAUUCAGGACCAAAAUCGGGGUAUGACAGUUGCCCCUAUUUAAGUAUCUUCAACUAGAGAAUAUGAAGCAGGACACUCUUCAUAUGAUCAUAGUGGGAGAUGGUUAAAUACUAAGAAGACCCGGAUUUUGAUCCUGAAUCCCUAUGACAUGAUGUGAUAUGAUAUGAUAUGAUAUGAUAUGCAUGGAUGCAUGGAUGCAUGAUUUUUUUUUUAUCUGCUAGGGGUAUAGUGAACCCUUAACAGGAGAUGUUACUAGACAAACCAAACCUGUGGGGAAUGCUGAUGGUCCACAGGGAGACAGACAAAUGGUAAAAAAACAAACUUGCUGGGGAAGACAAAACCUGUUGGAGAAUCAGACACAUACCGGGGAGUACUCAAAGUGAAAGUUGAUAAACAACAUUCAGAGUACAAGAGAUUUCGAUAGUAAGUUCACAUAUGACUUACUAGACCCGAAUAAGAAAGGAAAAUGUCACAACAGGUUCAAAUAUGACCUGGCAAUACUGGAAUAAAACACAACAAACAGGUUCAUAUAUGACCCGACAAUGCUGGGAGAAUAUCAAGAAGUUCUAACGGCAAGUUUAGAUAUGACCUAACAAACUCA